rnacentral:rRNA from 1 species
CAGUAGCCGCGGGAAUACGUAGGGUGCGAGCGUUAAUCGGAAUUACUGGGCGUAAAGCGUGCGCAGGCGGUUCGUUAAGACAGAUGUGAAAUCCCCGGGCUUAACCUGGGAACUGCAUUUGUGACUGGCGAGCUAGAGUAUGGCAGAGGGGGGUAGAAUUCCACGUGUAGCAGUGAAAUGCGUAGAGAUGUGGAGGAAUACCGAUGGCGAAGGCAGCCCCCUGGGCCAAUACUGACGCUCAUGCACGAAAGCGUGGGGAGCAAAUAGGAUUAGAUACCCGUGUAGUCCCUGUCUCUUAUAC